rnacentral:rRNA from 1 species
GGGCCCGCACAAGCGGUGGAGCAUGUGGUUUAAUUCGAUGAUACGCGAGGAACCUUACCAGGGCUUAAAUGCAGAGCGACAGAGGUGGAAACACCUCCUUCUUCGGACGGUCUGCAAGGUGCUGCAUGGUUGUCGUCAGCUCGUGCUGUGAAGUGUCGGGUUAAGUCCCAUAACGAGCGCAACCCCUAUUUCUAGUUGCCAGCGGUUCGGCCGGGGACUCUAGAGAAACUGCCAGCGUAAGCUGUGAGGAAGGUGGGGAUGACGUCAAAUCAUCACGGCCCUUACGUCCUGGGCCACACACGUGCUACAAUGGUAAGGACAGAGAGUUGCCAACCCGCGAGGGUGAGCU